GAGCCGUGGACGUAGACACACCUUGCGCAUUCUUUCUAUUCGGUGACAUCGGGGGACACCCUGCGGACUCUCGUACAAACGACGUUCCUUGUACAAACGACCGAUUCGAGAAAUUAUUUCAUUAUUUAUAUUUGGGAACGAUCGAUCCCAUCGACAGACACUAUAUAACCAUAACCACUAUAUAACGUUAAUAACGAAACUCAAUGCCAAAUCGGAAGAGGCUUUUAUCCGAGCUGAAUCUAUUGGAAGGAAAGAUAUUAUUCCAUCUUUCUUCUUCUCGGGCACGAUCGAGCGGAAAAGUAGAAAAUGUCGAGGCUUGCCAAUCUUUCAUCUUGAAUUCCUUCAUCUCCUUGGAAUUUCUAACGAGGCUAGAUCGAGGACAAACAACUAGUGCCAACGUAACUACCAUGCCAAGCAUUCAAAUCGGUGCUCGUCAUCGUAAUUGAGAAUUUCGAUAGGUCGAAGGAAUCGGAAUCUUGCCUUCGGAUCAUAUUGAAAUUCUUUCCUUUCUGACGCAGGAGAGAUCGAAGGGAAGAGGGGAGUUUGUCAAAGGAAAAAAUGCGAGUGAAUUUGAAAAGGAUUAAUUUUGAAAGAAGAACGACGCGCACUUGGUGGUAAAGAUUCGAGGAACAUGGAAAACGCGUCGAAGCGUGUUUCGACGACGGCGACGGCGACGGCCAAGGUCUAACCGGUCUUCUCGACGACCCUCCAACGAGAAGAGAACGAACGAACGAACGAACGAACGAACGAGUCAGCUAGCGAGCGAGCGAGCGAGCGAACGAACGAACGAACGAACGAACGACAAGCAAGGAAGAAAGGGAGGGAUCUGGUUUUCCUUCUCAAUAUAGAUCGUAGCAGAGGGACUUUGCGUGGCUCGAUUAUUACGCGCCCACGCCCGCGCGUCCCUUACCACAGCACCAUCCAGCAGCAACCCCUUACAAUCGCCAACUGUCUACUCUCACAAAAGAGCCGUCUUUGGACGCUCGCGCGAGUAACAAAGAAUCGGAAUACAUAAGCCGGGAUAACGACGUGAAUUUGGAGACAAACGAUCCGAUUCCGAUGUUUUAUUACAUAGGGAAAAGCAAAAACUGUAACCAACCUUUUUGUCUUUUUCUUUUUUCUUUUUUUUUUUCUUAUAUAAACGCUCGAUACGUUUUGACAGUUGGCUAAUAAGAAGAAUAUCAUUUGAAUCGAAUAUCUAUGGCUCGACAAUGUGGCUCCAUGAUACAAGAAACGAUGUUGGGAAGGAAAAGCGUCGUUGAAUAGGUUAUACAUUCUAGUCGUAAAAAAAAGGGGGGAAAUAGUUUCGACUCCGAUCACCAGCUGCACGUUGUUGAGUUUUUAAAGGACGUUCAUGUUUUGUAUUACCAUCGUCAAGCGCAGCUGUUAUUUCUAGUGGCAGUCUUGGUAUUAUCGUUGCUACGAUCGAAAGCGAUACAGCGGUUAGAACGCGAUUGCGUUGAUAUUCGAAAGAAAUGGCGGGCCGACGCGAUGCAUAAACGCAUAUUAAUUCUCAUCUUGGAUUCCACGUAGGCAUCUAAGUUGUUUUGUCGUAAGAGUAGUAACGUGAGAGUAGAACGCGCGAAAUACAAAAAGAAGGAAUACCUGUGAGCUUCCGGCGAGUUCGGCAAGCUUCGUGCCUUUCUGCUGUUGCCGCUGCUUCCACUGUUACCCAUAUCGAGAGGACGCCUGCCGAACUUUAUCGCCGAACGCUACGACUCCUCGUCGACAAAGGGAAAGAUCGAGAGUGGAUCGAUCGGUCGAUCGAGUCGCGAGAGGAAAUGCGGUUAAGCACAUUAGACGACGGGGCGUAAGGAGAGAGACCGACCGACCGACCGACCGACCGACCGACCGACCGAAAGAACGACCGAACGACCGAACGAACGAAUACAACGACGCUAGAGAAGAGCUAGUCACGGAGGCGGCACACUAUCUUCCGAUCACUUCACACUCGAGGCUGUUCGAUCGGACGAUAACAAAAAACGCGAGAGGGCGAAGAGCAGAGCGAGGACCGGCCAGAGGGUUGAUCCUGCCGCUAGUUCUCCAGGAUUCACAGCCCCCACGUCUGCCCCGAGCGCUCGGAGCGCUCCCACGCACAGGUUCACGUUCUCGACCUGCGCAACACAACGAGCAAACCUUUAUGAUCGAUCAUGAAAGAAGAUGGGAAAAGAUGAAAAUGCGACCGCGUGAAUCACCGAGCUUUGCCACCUGCCUAUCUAUCUAAUCGGAAACAUUUUUAUAUACUUAAGGCAGUCUAUUUUUUGCCUACGAAUAAGAAUAUUUACUUUAGAUCACAUUAAUAUUUCCAUCGAGUAACCAUCGCUAACCUGUCAAGUCUUAAUCACGCUUAUUUCGCAUUUACGAAUGGGGACGUAUGUCCGUUCACCCUGCCAUAAUCAUCGAUCGAGUCACAUAUAUUCCCUGUAAUCCAUAUUAAUCGAGUGAAAUAAUUACUCUCGAACAUUACUCGCGAAACGGAGUCGACGAGUUAGAGACGACGAGGCGCUUACCAAAUGCUACCAUAUUCAAAUUAUUCUCCUUCUCGUCUCUGAACGGCUGAACCCAAUCCGUUGACGAAUCGAGAAGCCGUUAUCUACCCUAUCGAAUCGUUUGCUAGACGAAUGAAAGAAACAAAUGUCAGGUUUUUUUCUUUCAUCCAAACGAUGCCAGUACGGUCCCUUGCAAAUACGAUAUAUAUAUUUGCACGUUAAAGAUCGUAUCGUUAUCGACGUGUCAACAAUGGCUACGGACGGUGGGUACACAUAAUAUAGGGACGGGCAACAGGUACGUACAUAUGUACGUGCGUGCAUCAUACAUACAUACACACAUAUGUGUAUAUAAAACAUAGGCUCGAACCUAUGCAUUUGCUCGGUCGCUCACCCACAACGUCGGCUAAUUACGACGACUCUCGAGUACGAGAAGAGCCAGUACAACGGAGUAAGAAAUAUAACACGAGAUUUGUUUCAAACGAUCGCUAUCCGAACAUCUCGCUGUACAUUCAUAGCUGGUACAGGAGCGUUACACUCGAAACUCGUACUCGGUGGUGGUCUCUUAACACAAAGGGACACUCUCUCGUGUAGAGAAGCUUCCACGAAACGUGACCACUGUGGUCAUGGGCAGUAUCGUGGUACUACCACCUUGUACUACGUUGCACGCGCGCGCUUAGUAGUACGCGGAGAAAGAGCUAGAUAGAUAGAGGUAGAUGGUGAGAGAGAGAGAGAGAGAGAGAGAGAGAGAGAGAGAGAGAGAGAGAGAGAGAGAGAGAAAGAGUGCUCUUUUGUCUUCGGUGUCGGCUUUUACCCAGAAAACGAAGCGUGCUCGCAUGGGCCACGAUGAUGACGACGCGACACAACAACGAAUAAGAGGAGGAGGAGGAGAAACGUCGACGUACCGAUACCACCGACCCUCUUUCUCUUCUCUCUCCGUUGUUGGUAAGGAAAGUGUAGACGCACGCGAAGAGUAAAGGGAGGGAGCGAGAUGACUCACCCGAUGAUAUCCUCCCGGGUGCUCUGCGCUCGCGCGCAACAGCUAGGUGAGCCAGGACUGUGCGCCCGUUGGCUCGUAUAACGCGCAGCAACUAUAUACGCGUCUCUCUUGGCCGCGCGCGCGUCGCUCUGUAAACAUAUACAUACGUACUUGCUGGCCGCGUUAAGUGUUACAGAACAUUUUCACACACGUACGUAUCUACGUGUUAGAGUAAAUAAGACUAUCGAUUUAUAUAUUAUGCAAUAUUUUCAUAUGCGAUACAGACCGAUCGUUGAAAAAUAAAGGAAAGGAAAAAAAAAAAAAUUAAGUACCCUUCGAUAUUCUCCUGUUUAUAUCUCGUCUUUCGAGUUUUGUUUCUUCUUUACAUCUCCGUAAGGAGUACUUCUCGUAUCGUCUUACGGCUCUCUCACAUCCACGCGAGAUGACAGCCGUAAAUGGCUAUGGCGCGAUCUCUUUUUAAUGCGUUCCUUCUGUCUUUCAAAUACAUUGGCUCGCUACGACGACGUCGAACGACGACGUAU